UACGGAGGGUGCAAGCGUUACUCGGAAUCACUGGGCGUAAAGGACGCGUAGGCUGGUUGUCAAGUCUGAUGUGAAAUCCUACAGCUCAACUGUAGAACUGCAUUGGAAACUGGCAACCUAGAGUAUGGGAGGGGGAGAUGGAAUUAGUGGUGUAGGGGUAAAAUCCGUAGAUAUCACUAGGAAUACCUAAAGCGAAGGCGAUCUCCUGGAACAUUACUGACGCUAAGGCGUGAAAGCGUGGGGAGCAAACGGGAUUAGAUACCCCGGUAGUCCACGCCCUAAACGAUGAACACUAGUCGUCGGGAUGCUUGUCAUCUCGGUGAUGCACUUAACAGAUUAAGUGUUCCGCCUGGGGAGUACGGUCGCAAGAUUAAAACUCAAAGGAAUAGACGGGGACCCGCACAAGUGGUGGAGCAUGUGGUUUAAUUCGACGAUACGCGAAGAACCUUACCUGGCCUUGACAUUGAUUGAAUCCACCAGAGAUGGAGGAGUGCCCCUCGGGGAACAUGAAAACAGGUGCUGCACGGCUGUCGUCAGCUCGUGUCGUGAGAUGUUGGGUUAAGUCCCGCAACGAGCGCAACCCUCGUCCUUAGUUGCCAGCAGGUUAAGCUGGGCACUCUAAGGAGACUGCCUUCGUAAGGAGGAGGAAGGUGAGGACGACGUCAAGUCAUCAUGGCCCUUACGGCCAGGGCUACACACGUGCUACAAUGGGGCGUACAGAGAGUUGCGAUAUCGCGAGGUGGAGCCAAUCUCAUAAAGCGUCUCUCAGUUCGGAUUGGAGUCUGCAACUCGACUCCAUGAAGCUGGAAUCACUAGUAAUCGUAGAUCAGCAAUGCUACGGUGAAUACGUUCCCGGGUC
rnacentral:rRNA from 1 species